rnacentral:rRNA from 1 species
GAUGAACGCUGGCGGCGUGCUUAACACAUGCAAGUCGAGCGAGAAGUUUUGAAAAGAUUCUUCGGAUGAAAUUUAAAAUGGAAAGCGGCGGACGGGUGAGUAACGCGUAGGCAACCUGCCCCAUACAAAGGGAUAGCAUUUGGAAACGAAUAUUAAUACCUUAUGAAACUUAACUAGUGCAUGCUAGGUAGGUCAAAGAUUUAUCGGUAUGGGAUGGGCCUGCGUCUGAUUAGCUAGUUGGUGAGGUAACGGCUCACCAAGGCGACGAUCAGUAGCCGACCUGAGAGGGUGAACGGCCACAUUGGAACUGAGACACGGUCCAAACUCCUACGGGAGGCAGCAGUGGGGAAUAUUGCACAAUGGGGGAAAACCUGAUGCAGCAACGCCGCGUGAACGAUGAAGGCCUUUGGGUCGUAAAGUUCUGUUCUAGGUGAUGAAAACUGACAGUAACCUAGGAGAAAGCCCCGGCUAACUCCGUG